GGAUCCAGACUUUGAUUAUGGCUCAGGAUGAACGCUAGCUACAGGCUUAACACAUGCAAGUCGAGGGGCAGCGGGAUUGAAGCUUGCUUCAAUUGCCGGCGACCGGCGCACGGGUGAGUAACGCGUAUCCAACCUUCCGUACACUCAGGGAUAGCCUUUCGAAAGAAAGAUUAAUACCUGAUGGUAUGAUGAGAUUGCAUGAUAGCAUCAUUAAAGAUUUAUCGGUGUACGAUGGGGAUGCGUUCCAUUAGGUAGUAGGCGGGGUAACGGCCCACCUAGCCGACGAUGGAUAGGGGUUCUGAGAGGAAGGUCCCCCACAUUGGAACUGAGACACGGUCCAAACUCCUACGGGAGGCAGCAGUGAGGAAUAUUGGUCAAUGGACGAGAGUCUGAACCAGCCAAGUAGCGUGAAGGAUGAAGGUCCUACGGAUUGUAAACUUCUUUUAUAAGGGAAUAAACCCUUCCACGUGUGGGAGCUUGUAUGUACCUUAUGAAUAAGCAUCGGCUAACUCCGUGCCAGCAGCCGCGGUAAUACGGAGGAUGCGAGCGUUAUCCGGAUUUAUUGGGUUUAAAGGGAGCGCAGACGGGUCGUUAAGUCAGCUGUGAAAGUUUGGGGCUCAACCUUAAAAUUGCAGUUGAUACUGGCGUCCUUGAGUGCGGUUGAGGUGUGCGGAAUUCGUGGUGUAGCGGUGAAAUGCUUAGAUAUCACGAAGAACUCCGAUUGCGAAGGCAGCACACUAAGCCGUAACUGACGUUCAUGCUCGAAAGUGUGGGUAUCAAACAGGAUUAGAUACCCUGGUAGUCCACACGGUAAACGAUGGAUACUCGCUGUUGGCGAUAUACUGUCAGCGGCUUAGCGAAAGCGUUAAGUAUCCCACCUGGGGAGUACGCCGGCAACGGUGCAACUCAAAGGAAUUGACGG
rnacentral:rRNA from 2 species